AUUGAACGCUGGCGGCAGGCCUAACACAUGCAAGUCGAGCGAGCGGCGGACGGGUGAGUAAUGUAUGGGGAUCUGCCCGAUAGAGGGGGAUAACUACUGGAAACGGUGGCUAAUACCGCAUACUAGCGGAUGACCCCAUAUGGGAUUAGCUAGGAGGUGGGGUAAAGGCUCACAUAGGCGACGAUCGCUAGCUGGUCUGAGAGGAUGAUCAGCCACACUGGGACGGAGACACGGCCCAGACUCCUACGGGAGGCAGCAGUGGGGAAUAGUGCACAAUGGGCGCAAGCCUGAUGCAGCCAUGCCGCGUGUAUGAAGAAGGCCUUAGGGUUGUAAAGUACUUUCAGCGGGGAGGCGUUACCGGCAGAAGAAGCACCGGCUAACUCCGUGCCAGCAGCCGCGGUAAUUC
rnacentral:rRNA from 1 species